GACGAACGCUGGCGGCGUGCUUAACACAUGCAAGUCGAACGGAAAGGCCCUGCUUUUGUGGGGUGCUCGAGUGGCGAACGGGUGAGUAACACGUGAGUAACCUGCCCUUGACUUUGGGAUAACUUCAGGAAACUGGGGCUAAUACCGGAUAGGAGCUCCUGCUGCAUGGUGGGGGUUGGAAAGUUUCGGCGGUUGGGGAUGGACUCGCGGCUUAUCAGCUUGUUGGUGGGGUAGUGGCUUACCAAGGCUUUGACGGGUAGCCGGCCUGAGAGGGUGACCGGCCACAUUGGGACUGAGAUACGGCCCAGACUCCUACGGGAGGCAGCAGUGGGGAAUAUUGCACAAUGGGCGGAAGCCUGAUGCAGCAACGCCGCGUGCGGGAUGACGGCCUUCGGGUUGUAAACCGCUUUCGCCUGUGACGAAGCGUGAGUGACGGUAAUGGGUAAAGAAGCACCGGCUAACUACGUGCCAGCAGCCGCGGUGAUACGUAGGGUGCGAGCGUUGUCCGGAUUUAUUGGGCGUAAAGGGCUCGUAGGUGGUUGAUCGCGUCGGAAGUGUAAUCUUGGGGCUUAACCCUGAGCGUGCUUUCGAUACGGGUUGACUUGAGGAAGGUAGGGGAGAAUGGAAUUCCUGGUGGAGCGGUGGAAUGCGCAGAUAUCAGGAGGAACACCAGUGGCGAAGGCGGUUCUCUGGGCCUUUCCUGACGCUGAGGAGCGAAAGCGUGGGGAGCGAACAGGCUUAGAUACCCUGGUAGUCCACGCUGUAAACGGUGGGUACUAGGUGUGGGGUCCAUUCCACGGGUUCCGUGCCGUAGCUAACGCUUUAAGUACCCCGCCUGGGGAGUACGGCCGCAAGGCUAAAACUCAAAGGAAUUGACGGGGCCCCGCACAAGCGGCGGAGCAUGCGGAUUAAUUCGAUGCAACGCGUAGAACCUUACCUGGGUUUAACAUGGAUCGGGAGUGCUCAGAGAUGGGUGUGCCUCUUUUGGGGUCGGUUCACAGGUGGUGCAUGGCUGUCGUCAGCUCGUGUCGUGAGAUGUUGGGUUAAGUCCCGCAACGAGCGCAACCCUUGUUCACUGUUGCCAGCACGUUAUGGUGGGGACUCAGUGGAGACCGCCGGGGUCAACUCGGAGGAAGGUGGGGAUGACGUCAAGUCAUCAUGCCCCUUAUGUCCAGGGCUUCACGCAUGCUACAAUGGCUGGUACAGAGAGUGGCGAGCCUGUGAGGGUGAGCGAAUCUCGGAAAGCCGGUCUCAGUUCGGAUUGGGGUCUGCAACUCGACCUCAUGAAGUCGGAGUCGCUAGUAAUCGCAGAUCAGCAACGCUGCGGUGAAUACGUUCCCGGGGCU
rnacentral:rRNA from 1 species